UGUGUGUGUGUAUCUGUAUUCUAGGGGAAGGUGUGGUUGAUUGACUUUAAUCCGUUUGGCGAAGUCACAGACUCACUGCUGUUUACUUGGGAAGAGCUGACAUCUGAGGUAAACCUAAAAGGUGACAUCAGUGAAGGAGAUGCUCAGGAGCAGGAUUCUCCAGCUUUCCGUUGCACAAACAGUGAAGUUACAGUACAGCCCAGCCCCUACCUGAGUUACCAAUUGCCCAAGGACUUUGUAGACCUUUCCACUGGAGAAGAUGCCCACAAGCUAAUAGAUUUUCUUAAGCUGAAAAGAAAUCAGCAAGAGGAUGACUGAGUACUGCUUUCAGACCGAGCAGAAGAGGAU